rnacentral:tRNA from 1 species
GGGGCUGUGGCUCAGUGGUAGAGCAUCUGCUUUGCAUGAAGGAAGUUCCAGGUUCAGUGCCCGGCGCCUCCA